UUAUUAAAUAAAAAGCUUGUUCACCAUCAAAAGAUGUAGAUAUCAAAGAGGUCAAAGGGUCAGUCCAGGUAUUUGUCUGUAUUUGUGUUACUGGAUAUUGCACAGUAAUUGCUUGUAAUAUGUGGUUUGAAAAUAAUAUUACCAUUAAAUGACAUAUAUAUUACCAUAACAUUACCCAGUUAUUACAAAUCUGUAAAGUGCUAUCAAGUUAUAGUUUUGUAUAGGGAACAUUCAAAGACGAGGUCCACCAGAUGGCAGGAGAAAUGCAAACAAGUAUAAGAAAAAGCCAAAUCUCAGCUCCACCCACUUGUUCGACAAAAACAAUUUACCUGCUUACCCAUUACUCUCUGUGUAAAUCAAGAGUCAAUAUGAGUGGAUUUCCAGUCUUUUGUUUGCUGCUGCAGUGUUUCAUUGGCCUGUCACGGUGUUUAACUGUUACACAAACCCCUACUGAUCUUUUAUUAGUCACUGGAGCAACCUUGAACAUCACCUGCAGUCACCAUGACAAAACCUAUGACAAAAUCUACUGGUACCAGCAGCUUAAGGGAACAGGUCUUGAGUUCCUCGGCUUCCUUUCCUUUAAGGACGCUACAGUUGAUAGACCGGGUUUUAAAAUAACAGGAGAUGCAGAGAGUGAAGGGAAUCUGGUGGUGUCCUCUGUUAAAACUGAACACAGUGCUCUGUAUUUCUGCGCUGUGAGUUCAGCACAGUGCUGUGGGUCUAUGUGUGCCUGUGCUUAAAAAACCCUCCCUCAUCACAUGACAUAUCUGCACCUGGGCUUUCAACCC